rnacentral:tRNA from 2 species
GGUUGUGUAGUGUAGUGGUCAUCACGUCAGAUUUUGAUUGGUCCGAUUAACUUUCUGAGAACCCCAGUUCGAACCCGGGCACGACCU